AACCUACCUUCUACAGGGGGAUAGCCCAGAGAAAUUUGGAAUAAUACCCCAUACGGUCAUUUAAUGGCAUCAUUAAAUGAAGAAAACUCCGGUGGUAGAAGAUGGGCAUGCGUCCUAUUAGUUAGUUGGUAAGGUAAUGGCUUACCAAGACACCGAUAGGUAGGGGUCCUGAGAGGGAGAUCCCCCACACUGGUACUGAGACACGGACCAGACUCCUACGGGAGGCAGCAGUGAGGAAUAUUGGACAAUGGAGGCAACUCUGAUCCAGCCAUGCCGCGUGCAGGAAGACGGCCCUACGGGUUGUAAACUGCUUUUAUACAGGAAGAAUUAUACCUACGUGUAGGUAUUUGACGGUACUGUAAGAAUAAGGAUCGGCUAACUCCGUGCCAGCAGCCGCGGUAAUACGGAGGAUCCAAGCGU
rnacentral:rRNA from 1 species